UCCGAAGCUGCUACAAUUGGAC
rnacentral:siRNA from 1 species